rnacentral:rRNA from 1 species
UGACAUAAGUAACGAUAAAGCGGGUGAAAAGCCCGCUCGCCGGAAGACCAAGGGUUCCUGUCCAACGUUAAUCGGGGCAGGGUGAGUCGACCCCUAAGGCGAGGCCGAAAGGCGUAGUCGAUGGGAAACAGGUUAAUAUUCCUGUACUUGGUGUUACUGCGAAGGGGGGACGGAGAAGGCUAUGUUGGCCGGGCGACGGUUGUCCCGGUUUAAGCGUGUAGGCUGGUUUUCCAGGCAAAUCCGGAAAAUCAAGGCUGAGGCGUGAUGACGAGGCACUACGGUGCUGAAGCAACAAAUGCCCUGCUUCCAGGAAAAGCCUCUAAGCAUCAGGUAACAUCAAAUCGUACCCCAAACCGACACAGGUGGUCAGGUAGAGAAUACCAAGGCGCUUGAGAGAACUCGGGUGAAGGAACUAGGCAAAAUGGUGCCGUAACUUCGGGAGAAGGCACGCUGAUAUGUAGGUGAAGUCCCUCGCGGAUGGAGCUGAAAUCAGUCGAAGAUACCAGCUGGCUGCAACUGUUUAUUAAAAACACAGCACUGUGCAAACACGAAAGUGGACGUAUACGGUGUGACGCCUGCCCGGUGCCGGAAGGUUAAUUGAUGGGGUCAGCGCAAGCGAAGCUCUUGAUCGAAGCCCCGGUAAACGGCGGCCGUAACUAUAACGGUCCUAAGGUAGCGAAAUUCCUUGUCGGGUAAGUUCCGACCUGCACGAAUGGCGUAAUGAUGGCCAGGCUGUCUCCACCCGAGACUCAGUGAAAUUGAACUCGCUGUGAAGAUGCAGUGUACCCGCGGCAAGACGGAAAGACCCCGUGAACCUUUACUAUAGCUUGACACUGAACAUUGAGCCUUGAUGUGUAGGAUAGGUGGGAGGCUUUGAAGUGUGGACGCCAGUCUGCAUGGAGCCGACCUUGAAAUACCACCCUUUAAUGUUUGAUGUUCUAACGUGGACCCGUGAUCCGGGUUGCGGACAGUGUCUGGUGGGUAGUUUGACUGGGGCGGUCUCCUCCUAAAGAGUAACGGAGGAGCACGAAGGUUGGCUAAUCCUGGUCGGACAUCAGGAGGUUAGUGCAAUGGCAUAAGCCAGCUUGACUGCGAGCGUGACGGCGCGAGCAGGUGCGAAAGCAGGUCAUAGUGAUCCGGUGGUUCUGAAUGGAAGGGCCAUCGCUCAACGGAUAAAAGGUACUCCGGGGAUAACAGGCUGAUACCGCCCAAGAGUUCAUAUCGACGGCGGUGUUUGGCACCUCGAUGUCGGCUCAUCACAUCCUGGGGCUGAAGUAGGUCCCAAGGGUAUGGCUGUUCGCCAUUUAAAGUGGUACGCGAGCUGGGUUUAGAACGUCGUGAGACAGUUCGGUCCCUAUCUGCCGUGGGCGCUGGAGAACUGAGGGGGGCUGCUCCUAGUACGAGAGGACCGGAGUGGACGCAUCACUGGUGUUCGGGUUGUCAUGCCAAUGGCACUGCCCGGUAGCUAAAUGCGGAAGAGAUAAGUGCUGAAAGCAUCUAAGCACGAAACUUGCCCCGAGAUGAGUUCUCCCUGACCCUUUAAGGGUCCUGAAGGAACGUUGAAGACGACGACGUUGAUAGGCCGGGUGUGUAAGCGCAGCGAUGCGUUGAGCUAACCGGUACUAAUGAACCGUGAGGCUUAACCUU